ACUAUCUCCCUUCUGUGUACUCUCCAUCUCUCUGUUUCUUCUACUCACACUAUCUCCCUUCUGUGUACUCCCCGUCUCUCUGUUUCUUCUACUCACACUAUCUCCCUUCUGUGUACUCCCCGUCUCUCUGUUUCUUCUACUCACAAAAUCUCCCUUCUGUGUACUCUCCAUCUCUCUGUUUCUUCUACUCACACUAUCUCCCGUCUCUCUGUUUCUUCUACUCACACUAUCUCCCUUCUGUGUACUCUCCAUCUCUCUGUUUCUUCUACUC
rnacentral:lncRNA from 1 species